ensembl:misc_RNA Metazoa_SRP Metazoan signal recognition particle RNA
GCCAGGCACAGCAGCGCAUGCCUGUAGUCCAAGCUACUCAGGAGGCUGAGGUGGGAGGAUCACUUGAGCCCAGGAGUUCUGGGCUGUAAAGCGCUAUGCCGAUCGGGUGUCCGCACUAAGUUCAGCAUCAAUACGGUAACCUCCCGGAAGCAGGGGACCACCAGGUCCCUAAGGAGGGGUGAACCGGCCCAGGUCAGAAACGGAGCAGGUCAAAACUCCCGUGCUGAUCAGUAGUGGGAUCGCGCCUGUGAAUAGCCACUGUACUUUAGCCUGGGCAGUACAGCAAGACCCCAUCUCUU